UACGUAGGGAGCGAGCGUUGUCCGGAAUUACUGGGUGUAAAGGGAGCGUAGGCGGGAUUGCAAGUCAGAUGUGAAAUACAUGGGCUCAACCCAUGGGCUGCAUUUGAAACUGUAGUUCUUGAGUGAAGUAGAGGUAAGCGGAAUUCCUGGUGUAGCGGUGAAAUGCGUAGAUAUCAGGAGGAACACCGGUGGCGAAGGCGGCUUACUGGGCUUUUACUGACGCUGAGGCUCGAAAGCGUGGGGAGCAAACAGG
rnacentral:rRNA from 2 species